UGCAGAAUCCCGUGAACCAUCGAGUCUUUGAACGCAAGUUGCGCCCGAAGCCACUAGGCUGAGGGCACGUCUGCCUGGGCGUC
rnacentral:rRNA from 1 species